rnacentral:rRNA from 1 species
CACGUAGGGCGCGAGCGUUGUCCGGAAUUAUUGGGCGUAAAGAGCUCGUAGGCGGCCUGUUGCGUCCGCUGUGAAAGCCCGGGGCUUAACCCCGGGUCUGCAGUGGAUACGGGCAGGCUAGAGGUAGGUAGAAUUCCCGGUGUAGUGGUGAAAUGCGUAGAGAUCGGGAGGAAUACCUGUGGCGAAGGCGGCCUACUGGGCCGGACCUGACGCUGAGACGCGAAGGCGUGGGGAGCGAACGGG